rnacentral:rRNA from 1 species
GUCUCCGGCCAUACCACCCUGAAUGCGCCAGAUCUUGUCUGAUCUCGGAAGCUAAGCAGGGUGGGGCCUGCUUAGUACUUAGACUGGAGAAU